rnacentral:rRNA from 1 species
UGGGGAAUAUUGGUCAAUGGGCGAAAGCCUGAACCAGCAAUGCCGCGUGAGUGAUGAAGGCCUUCGGGUUGUAAAGCUCUGUCAGCGGGAACGAAGAAGUCGGUUAAUACCCGAUGGUGACGGUACCCGCAAAGGAAGCACCGGCUAACUCUGUGCCAGCAGCCGCGGUAAUACAGAGGGUGCAAGCGUUGUUCGGAAUUACUGGGCGUAAAGCGCGUGUAGGCGGUCUAGCAAGUCGAUCGUGAAAGCCCUUGGCUUAACCAAGGAACUGCGGUCGAAACUACUAAACUAGAGUAUCGGAGGGGGUGGCGGAAUUCCCGGUGUAGAGGUGAAAUUCGUAGAUAUCGGGAGGAACACCUGUGGCGAAGGCGGCCACCUGGAAGAUUACUGACGCUGAGACGCGAAAGCGUGGGGAGCAAACAGGAUUAGAUACCCCCGUAGUCC